rnacentral:rRNA from 1 species
UAAUGGCCCACCAAGGCAAAGAUCGGUAGCCGGCCUGAGGGGCGCACGGCCACACUGGAACUGAAACACGGACCAUACUCCUACGGGAGGCAGCAGUGGGGAAUUUUGCGCAAUGGGGGAAACCCUGACGCACACCGCCUUGUGGAGGAUGAAGUCCCUUGCGACGUAAACUCCUUUCCACCCGGACGAUAAUGACGGUACGGGUGGAACCCGCCCCGGCUAACUUCCUGCCAGCAGCCGCGGUAAUACGAGGGGGGCAAGCGUUGUUCGGAAUUAUUGGGCGUAAAGGGCGCGUAGGCGGUGCGGAAGUCAGCUGUGAAACCUCUAGGCUUAACCUAGAGCCUGCGGCGAAACUGCCGUGCUUGAGGGUGGGAGAGGUGCGUGGUAUUCCCGGUGCAGCGGUGAAAUG